AGCUGUAAGGGCUGUCGCUGACCUUUAAAGGGUUGUGCACGCCUGAGCAUGCUCUUAUUUACAUCCAUCUCACCCCCUUUUGUGCAUUGCUGCGUGGGUUCUCCCUUGUGGAGUGCUUGCGUUUUUUCACAUAAAACUCAAUGCAGUGUAGAAUGUCUUAUUCUUUUUGCGAUCACAUGCAAUCAAUACAACUUUCAACAACGGAUCUCUUGGCUCUCGCAUCGAUGAAGAACGCAGCGAAAUGCGAUACGUAAUGUGAAUUGCAGAAUUCAGUGAAUCAUCGAAUCUUUGAACGCACCUUGCGCCCCUUGGCAUUCCGAGGGGCACACCCGUUUGAGUGUCGUGAAAUUAUCAAAACCCUUUCUUUGAUUGAAAGGAUUUUGGACUUGGAGGGUCAAUGCCAGCUUUCACAUUUUGAAGGCGGGCUCCUCUCAAAUAAAUUAGUGGGUUUUUGCUUUGCUUGNUCCUUGACGUGAUAAGAUAUUUCUACGUUUUGGAUUAAAAAAGAUUGAUUGCCUGCUUCUAACUGUCCAAUGGACAAUGAUGGUGCUUUGGUCACUGCCAUGUUUUAUUACAUUGGUGGGGGGCUGGACCCACAAAUAUUCUCUNGACCUCAG
rnacentral:rRNA from 1 species